rnacentral:rRNA from 1 species
AGUCAUUUUAUCACUUUUGACCUCGGAUCAGGUAGGGAUACCCGCUGAACUUAAGCAUAUCAAUAAGCCGGAGGAA